CUGACCAAGUGUUGUUACUUUGUAGCCGAUCCAUCAUCCAAGAUGGCCGCCAGCGGGGGACUUAGUUUAACAUUGGACCCAAUGGGAAAUGCAUACAAAUGACUUCUUUUAGAGAACCACUGAAUGGAAUAAAACCAAACAUGGCAUGAAUGUUCCUUAUAAGGUGCUGAACAAGUGUUGUUACUUUGUAGCCGAUCCAUCAUCCAAGAUGGCCGCCAGCGGGGGACUAAGUUUAACUUAGGACCCUAUGGGAAAUGCAUACAAAUGACUUCUUUUAGAGAACCACAGAAUGGAAUGAAACCAAACAUGGCAUGAAUGUUCCUUAUAAGGUGCUGACCAAGUGUUGUUACUUUGUAGCCGAUCCAUCAUCCAAGAUGACCGCCAGCGGGGUACUAAGUUUAACAUAGGACCCUAUGGGAAAUGCAUACAAAUGACUUCUUUUAGAGAACUACUGAAUGGAAUAAAACCAAACAUGGCAUGAAUGUUCCCUAUGAGAUGCUGACCAAGUGUUGUUACUUUGUAGCCGAUCCAUCAUCCAAGAUGGCCGCCAGCAGGGGACUUAGUUUAACAUAGGACCCUAUGGGAAAUGCAUAUAAAUGACUUCUUUUAGAGAACCACUGAAUGGAAUGAAACCAAACAUGGCAUGAAUGUUCCUUAUAAGGUGUUGACCAAGUGUUGUUACUUUGUAGCGGAUCCAUCAUACAAGAUGGCCGCCAGCGGGGGACUUAGUUUAACAUUGGACACAAUGGGAAAUGCAUACAAAUGACUUCUUUUAGAGAACCACUGAAUGGAAUGAAACCAAACAUGGCAUGAAUGUUCCUUAUAAGGUGCUGACCAAGUGUUGUUACUUUGUAGCCGAUCCAUCAUCCAAAAUGGCCGCCAGCGGGGGACUAAGUUUAACAUAGGACCCUAUGGGAAAUGCAUACAAAUGACUUCUUUUAGAGAACUACUGAAUGGAAUAAAACCAAACAUGGCAUGAAUGUUCCCUAUGAGGUGCUGACCAAGUGUUGUUACUUUGUAGCAGAUCCAUCAUCCAAGAUGGCCGCCAGCGGGGGACUUAGUUUAACAUAGGACCC
rnacentral:lncRNA from 1 species